ACACGGAGGGCGCAAGCGUUGCUCGGAAUCACUGGGCGUAAAGCGGGUGUAGGCGGUCUAGCAAGUCAGAUGUGAAAGCCCACGGCUCAACCGUGGAAGUGCAUCUGAAACUGCUAGACUUGAGUGCCGGAGAGGGAAGUGGAAUUCCUGGUGUAGGGGUGAAAUCCGUAGAUAUCAGGAGGAACACCGGUGGCGAAGGCGACUUCCUGGACGGCCACUGACGCUGAGACCCGAAAGCGAGGGGAGCAAACAGGAUUAGAAACCCCAGUAGUCC
rnacentral:rRNA from 1 species